GAUGAACGCUAGCGGCAGGCCUAACACAUGCAAGUCGAGGGAUAAGCCUUCGGGCUGAAACCGGCGCACGGGUGCGUAACGCGUAUACAAUCUGCCUUUCACAUAGGGAUAGCCCGGAGAAAUUUUUAUUAAUACCUAAUGUUAUAUAAGAGUGGCAUCUUUUUUAUAUUAAUGCUUUGUUGGUGAAAGAUUAGUAUGCGUUCUAUUAGCUAGUUGGAGAGGUAACGGCUCCCCAAGGCGACGAUAGAUAGGGGUUCUGAGAGGGAUGUCCCCCACAAUGGUACUGAGAUACGGACCAGAAUCCUACGGGAGGCAGCAGUGAGGAAUAUUGGACAAUGGUCGGAAGACUGAUCAAGCCAUGCCGCGUGCAGGACGACGGUCAUAUGGAUUGUAAACUGCUUUUGUAAGGGAAGAAUAAGGAGUACGUGUACUUUGAUGACGGUACCUUACGAAUAAGCAUCGGCUAACUCCGUG
rnacentral:rRNA from 1 species